GACGAACGCUGGCGGCGUGCUUAACACAUGCAAGUCGAACGGUAAGGCCCUUCGGGGUACACGAGUGGCGAACGGGUGAGUAACACGUGGGUGAUCUGCCCUGCACUUCGGGAUAAGCCUGGGAAACUGGGUCUAAUACCGGAUAGGACCACUGCCUGCAUGGGUGGUGGUGGAAAGCUUUUGCGGUGUGGGAUGGGCCCGCGGCCUAUCAGCUUGUUGGUGGGGCGAUGGCCUACCAAGGCGACGACGGGUAGCCGGCCUGAGAGGGUGACCGGCCACACUGGGACUGAAAUACGGCCCAGACUCCUACGGGAGGCAGCAGUGGGGAAUAUUGCACAAUGGGCGCAAGCCUGAUGCAGCGACGCCGCGUGAGGGAUGACGGCCUUCGGGUUGUAAACCUCUUUCAGCACCGACGAAGCGCAAGUGACGGUAGGUGCAGAAGAAGGACCGGCCAACUACGUGCCAGCAGCCGCCGUAA
rnacentral:rRNA from 1 species